AAAUAUUCGAGGCCUGCAGACGUGGCGGCGGUGACUGACGGGUAGAUUUGUGCCAUUAAAACUCUGAUGAUUUCCAAGAAUCAGAGGGAAGCGGCCGGAGCCGGAGACGUGACCCCGCGGAGCCGGAGACCUGACCCCUGACCCCGCGGAGCCGGAGUCCUGACCCCAUAUCAAAUGAAUCAAGUGGAGGCAGCUUCCCAAAAUGAAGUCAAUGUUUCUUAAAUGAACUCAGGUGUUCCAACUUAAAGUAAUUAGCAGCCUACACUGACCGGCUGGUGGUGCAUUAUGGGAGUUGAAGUCCCCAGGACUGUUUGACUGCCUACUACCUGGAUCCACCUCUCUACCAGCUCUCUCUCUCUACGUGUAACCGGAGUCAA